GAUGAACGCUGGCGGCGUGCCUAAUACAUGCCAGUCGAGCGAACAGACGAGGAGCUUGCUCCUCUGACGUUAGCGGCGGACGGGUGAGUAACACGUGGAUAACCUACCUAUAAGACUGGGAUAACUUCGGGAAACCGGAGCUAAUACCGGAUAAUAUAUUGAACCGCAUGGUUCAAUAGUGAAAGACGGUUUUGCUGUCACUUAUAGAUGGAUCCGCGCCGCAUUAGCUAGUUGGUAAGGUAACGGCUUACCAAGGCGACGAUGCGUAGCCGACCUGAGAGGGUGAUCGGCCACACUGGAACUGAGACACGGUCCAGACUCCUACGGGAGGCAGCAGUAGGGAAUCUGCCGCAAUGGGCGAAAGCCUGACGGAGCAACGCCGCGUGAGUGAUGAAGGUCUUCGGAUCGUAAAACGCUGUUAUUAGGGAAGAACAAAUGUGUAAGUAACUAUGCACGUCUUGACGGUACCUAAUCAGAAAGCCACGGCUAACUACGU
rnacentral:rRNA from 1 species